rnacentral:rRNA from 1 species
CACAAGCGGUGGAUGAUGUGGAUUAAUUCGAUGCAACGACGAAAACCUUACCUACCCUUGACAUGCCAGGAACCUGCUGAGAGGUGGGGUGCUCGAAAGAGAACCGGAACACAAGGUGCUGCAUGGCUGUCGUCAGCUCGUGUCGUGAGAUGUUGGGUUAAGUCCCGCAACGAGCGCAACCCUUGUCAUUAGUUGCUACGAAAGGGCACUCUAAUGAAACUGCCGGUGACAAACCGGAGGAAGGUGGGGAUGACGUCAAGUCCUCAUGGCCCUUAUGGGUAGGGCUUCACACGUCAUACAAUGGUCGGUACAGAGGGCUGCCAACCCGUAAGGGGGAGCCAAUCCUUUAAAACCGAUCGUAGUCCGGAUUGAGGUCUGCAACUCGACCUCAUGAAGUCGGAAUCGCUAGUAAUCGCGGAUCAGCAUGUCGCGGUGAAUACGUUCCCGGGUCUU